AAAUUGAAGAGUUUGAUCAUGGCUCAGAUUGAACGCUGGCGGCAGGCCUAACACAUGCAAGUCGAACGGUAACAGGAAGCAGCUUGCUGCUUCGCUGACGAGUGGCGGACGGGUGAGUAAUGUCUGGGAAACUGCCUGAUGGAGGGGGAUAACUACUGGAAACGGUGGCUAAUACCGCAUAACGUCGCAAGACCAAAGAGGGGGACCUUCGGGCCUCUUGCCAUCAGAUGUGCCCAGAUGGGAUUAGCUUGUUGGUGAGGUAACGGCUCACCAAGGCGACGAUCCCUAGCUGGUCUGAGAGGAUGACCAGCCACACUGGAACUGAGACACGGUCCAGACUCCUACGGGAGGCAGCAGUGGGGAAUAUUGCACAAUGGGCGCAAGCCUGAUGCAGCCAUGCCGCGUGUAUGAAGAAGGCCUUCGGGUUGUAAAGUACUUUCAGCGGGGAGGAAGGUGUUGUGGUUAAUAACCGCAGCAAUUGACGUUACCCGCAGAAGAAGCACCGGCUAACUCCGUGCCAGCAGCCGCGGUAAUACGGAGGGUGCAAGCGUUAAUCGGAAUUACUGGGCGUAAAGCGCACGCAGGCGGUCUGUCAAGUCGGAUGUGAAAUCCCCGGGCUCAACCUGGGAACUGCAUUCGAAACUGGCAGGCUUGAGUCUUGUAGAGGGGGGUAGAAUUCCAGGUGUAGCGGUGAAAUGCGUAGAGAUCUGGAGGAAUACCGGUGGCGAAGGCGGCCCCCUGGACAAAGACUGACGCUCAGGUGCGAAAGCGUGGGGAGCAAACAGGAUUAGAUACCCUGGUAGUCCACGCCGUAAACGAUGUCUACUUGGAGGUUGUGCCCUUGAGGCGUGGCUUCCGGAGCUAACGCGUUAAGUAGACCGCCUGGGGAGUACGGCCGCAAGGUUAAAACUCAAAUGAAUUGACGGGGGCCCGCACAAGCGGUGGAGCAUGUGGUUUAAUUCGAUGCAACGCGAAGAACCUUACCUGGUCUUGACAUCCACAGAACUUUCCAGAGAUGGAUUGGUGCCUUCGGGAACUGUGAGACAGGUGCUGCAUGGCUGUCGUCAGCUCGUGUUGUGAAAUGUUGGGUUAAGUCCCGCAACGAGCGCAACCCUUAU
rnacentral:rRNA from 1 species